CCUCCUCAGCCUUACUCCAGGGCCUCCUUGCCUGUAGAGUGCCCUGGCAUUGCCUGAGGAGAGAUGAGAAAGCACAUGUCCCUCCCCAGAAGAACCCAGUUUCUUCUGGGGCCUACACAUUGAGCUGACAGU